CCUUGUACACACCGCCCGUUACACCAUGGAAGUUGGCUGCACCAGAAGUAGGUAGUCUAACCGCAAGGGGGGCGCUUACCACGGUGUGGUCAAUGACUGGGGUG
rnacentral:rRNA from 1 species